rnacentral:rRNA from 1 species
UACAGAGGGUGCAAGCGUUGUUCGGAAUUAUUGGGCGUAAAGAGCUCGUAGGCGGUUUGUUGCGUCGGCUGUGAAAUCCCGAGGCUCAACCUCGGGUCUGCAGUCGAUACGAGCAGGCUAGAGUUCGGUAGGGGAGACUGGAAUUCCUGGUGUAGCGGUGAAAUGCGCAGAUAUCAGGAGGAACACCGGUGGCGAAGGCGGGUCUCUGGGCCGAUACUGACGCUGAGGAGCGAAAGCGUGGGGAGCGAACAGG